rnacentral:rRNA from 1 species
UACGGGGGGAGCAAGCGUUGUUCGGAUUUACUGGGCGUAAAGGGCGCGUAGGCGGCGCAACAAGUCACUUGUGAAAUCUCCGGGCUUAACCCGGAGCGGCCAAGUGAUACUGUCGUGCUAGAGUGCGGAAGGGGCUACUGGAAUUCUCGGUGUAGCGGUGAAAUGCGUAGAUAUCGAGUGGAACACCAGUGGCGAAGGCGAGUCUCUGGACAUUUCCUGACGCUGAGGCACGAAAGCCAGGGGAGCAAACGGG